UACGGAGGGUGCGAGCGUUGUCCGGAAUCACUGGGCGUAAAGGGCGCGUAGGCGGCGCGGAUAGUCGGCGGUGAAAGCCCGGAGCUCAACUCCGGGUCGGCCGUCGAUACUUCCGGGCUUGAGCACUGUAGAGGCAGAUGGAAUUCCGGGUGUAGCGGUGGAAUGCGUAGAGAUCCGGAAGAACACCGGUGGCGAAGGCGGUCUGCUGGG
rnacentral:rRNA from 1 species